rnacentral:rRNA from 1 species
ACGUGCGUAGUCGAAGUUGAGGGGUGUCGCAGCUUAGAACCCGUCCCUUGCGGGCGGGCCUCACUGCGGUGGUCCCCUUAUUCACCCGCCUGCCGAUGGUGGCCUCGGUCACUUUCCCUCACAGGGUGGGCGGCGGGUGAUUUACCUCGAACAAAUGAGCGCGCUUGAGGUAGGCCAGAAUGUUGCCUGAAUCAAUUAGCAUGGAAUAGCAGAUGGACAGCGAUGUCUGUUUGUUGGUUUGAGACGUUGCUGUAAUGAUUAAUAGGGGUACUCGGGGCCAACCGUACUCUGGGGAUAGAGGUGAAAUUCUAUGACCCCCAGAAGACGACCGAAUGCGAAAGCAGUUGGCAAGGGUAUCUUCAUUGAUCAAGCACGAAGGGUGGGGGAGCAAAGCCGAUUAGACACCGUUGUAGUCCCACCAGUAAACGAUGCCGACGCGACCUUGGGUGUCUGAGGACACAGUGUUCGGGGGCGUAUAGAAAUUAGAGUCUUUGGGCUCUGGGGGGAGUAUAGUCGCAAGUCUGAAACUUAAAGGAAUUGACGGAAGGGCACAACCAGGCGUGGAGCCUGCGGCUUAAUUUGACUCAACACGGGGAAGCUCACCAGGUCAGGACAUGAUUAGGAUUGACAGAAUAAUUGGCCUUUCAUAAUCUCAUGGGUGGUGGUGCAUGGCCGUUCUUAGUUCGUGGAUUAAUCUGUCUGGUUGAUUCCGAUAACGAGCGAGACCGAGUCCGGAGGUUGGCGACGUUCCCCUCAUUUCUUUCACAAUAUUUGAGGGACUCGCGCUCCUCAGGGACAGGCAUCCACAUUAGGAUGUGGAGGCACUCGGCAAUAACAGGUCUGUGAUGCCCUUAGAUGUCCUGGGCCGCACGCGCGCUACACUGAUGCGACCAGUAGGCCCAACCUAUCGCGAGAGCGCUGGGUAAUCCAUUGAGAUCGUAUCGUGCUGGGGAUCGAGCACUGGAAAGCGCUCGUGAACA